GAUGAACGCUGGCGGCGUGCCUAAUACAUGCAAGUCGAGCGAACAGACGAGGAGCUUGCUCCUCUGACGUUAGCGGCGGACGGGUGAGUAACACGUGGAUAACCUACCUAUAAGACUGGGAUAACUUCGGGAAACCGGAGCUAAUACCGGAUAAUAUAUUGAACCGCAUGGUUCAAUAGGGAAAGACGGUUUUGCUGUCACUUAUAGAUGGAUCCGCGCCGCAUUAGCUAGUUGGUAAGGUAACGGCUUACCAAGGCGACGAUGCGUAGCCGACCUGAGAGGGUGAUCGGCCACACUGGAACUGAGGCACGGUCCAGACUCCUACGGGAGGCAGCAGUAGGGAAUCUUCCGCAAUGGGCGAAAGCCUGACGGAGCAACGCCGCGUGAGUGAUGAAGGUCUUCGGAUCGUAAAACUCUGUUAUUAGGGAAGAACAAAUGUGUAAGUAACUAUGCACGUCUUGACGGUACCUAAUCAGAAAGCCACGGCUAACUACGUG
rnacentral:rRNA from 1 species